rnacentral:lncRNA from 1 species
UUUCGACUGUAUGAUGACUAUCACAUACCUGGAUUUACUGAACUUGGUGGAACAGUUCACAUGGCGGAAUUAAACAAUGAAGAGAUACAUUACGAAGAAGUUGAUGUUUUGGAUAGAGGAGAAAAUCCACUGUACAAAUUGAAAGUAUCUGAAAAGCCCGGAAAAGAAGGGUAUGUUCAAAUGUCACAAUGCGAAUUUUAAAUUGUUUUACCAAAUAUCAGUGUGUAUAACAAAAAAGUUAUUAAAUCGCUAAAAUGUUCAUGGCGAUGUUUAAGAUUGUCUCUUAUAUAUAGUUUGCUAAUACAUAUAAAUACAUCUAUCAUAUUCAAUACUAUACAUAUAACAAUAUAUCUA